rnacentral:tRNA from 1 species
GAGGGUAUAGCUCAGCAGUAGAGUGCUUGCUUGGCAUGCACGAGGUCCUGGGUUCAAUCCUCAGUACCUCCA